rnacentral:rRNA from 1 species
CCCUAGUAUGAAAAAUUUAAUAGGAUUAAUAUUAUAAUAAGAAAUUUAAAAUUUUUGGCGGUAAAUUAUUAUGUUAAAGGAGCUUGUUUUUAAGUAGAAAUUACUCUUUAUAUUUUAUUAAUUUUUGUUUAUAUAUCUCCGUUAUUAGGUAAGUCUUUAAAAAUUUUUAUUUAUAUUUCAGGUCAAGAUGUAGCAAUAAUUAAGAAGGAUUAGCUACAAUAAUGUAGUUUUGGAGUUUAGAAAGGAAUUAUUCAGAUGAAAUUGAAUUUAAUUGUAAUUUAAUUUAAAAUGAUUAGAUGAAAUUUAUGUAAUUUAUGUA